UGCGCAGGCGGUUUGUUAAGCGAGAUGUGAAAGCCCUGGGCUCAACCUAGGAAUAGCAUUUCGAACUGGCGAACUAGAGUCUUGUAGAGGGGGUAGAAUUCCAGGUGUAGCGGUGAAAUGCGUAGAGAUCUGGAGGAAUACCGGUGGCGAAGGCGGCCCCCUGGACAAAGACUGACGCUCAUGCACGAAAGCGUGGGGAGCAAACA
rnacentral:rRNA from 1 species